CCAGUCAGGUAAGUAUACAAUUUGGAUUUAUUAAAACGACCGAGCUUUUUACGGUCAUUUUUGAUUGUGGUGUUAUAUUAAAAAAUAAACAAGUUUAAAAUCUUAUAACAGUUUGAUAAGUCAAAAAAGCAAAAUAAAAUUAGUUUAAUGUUGUAUUUGUUAAUAUUUUGUUUACCUUAUCUAAAUAGCAACAAAAAUUAUUUAAAAAAAUAAAAAUAGAAUACAACGUUAAUUAGCAUAAAAUAAUCUACAAAAUUAAGUUUAUUUAAAUUAAAUUAUGAAUAAGGUUGAUGUUGUUUUCUAAAGCGUUAUAAGCAACAGAUAUAUAUAUUUGUGUAUCUAACAAUAAACUCUUGCAGCUUAGGGUUGUUAAAAGCAUCUAUAGUAUUUUAGGUUACUUUUGAUAUUUUCCUUUGAUGUGUUCAAAUGUUCAAAGAGAAAUUAGCAUUGCUUAGAUAUCAACUCAUGUAGCUCUAAUUUGUACAUUUGAUGUUUUACAAUGCUGAAGUUCUUUUGGCUCUUAAAACUCAAAUAGAGCCUGCAGAAUCUGUAUCUUUGUUUCGACUAGCACCUCUUUAUCCUCCAAGGACAACACGUAAAGUUGGGAAAUUAUGUACCAGGUAUGAUGUUCUAUGCUCAGAAACAAAGCGUUUUCAUCAAUUAAUGGCGUUUCUCAAAGUAUAGGCUGUCUAAAAUUCUUUUGAAUCAUUGUAAGCAAUCUGGAACCCUUAACAAUUUUUCAUAAAUCAUGAAGCAUUGAAAUUAUAAUGAACUGACUUGCAUCUUUUUGCUGAAAGCAGAGGAACUUGCAGAAUUAUUUCCUAUAAUGAUAAUGAUUAAAUAUUAUAUAAAAAGUAAGUCUUCUGAAACAAUUAAUUUGUUGAAAAAAGAUAUUAAAACAUAUUGUGCUGGUGAAGAGCUAAUUGCUCUUUGUUGUUUGUAAUUAUGGGUUUGUUAAAGUGGGUUUGUUUAAUUUUGCUGUUCAUCUCUUUUUAUUAUGUUUAUUUGUGAUUAUGAUAGCGAAAAAAAAUUUGCUAAAUUUUUCUAAAAUAAAGUUGCAAAUUUUUAAAUGACAUUUAUCUGACAUAAAAAGAUAUUCAGUAGUUUCUGAUUUAUGUGUAUUUUUUACAGUUUUUGAAGAUAAUUAGUCAUUGCGAGAAGUUUUCAAAGAUAUUUAACUCAUUUAAAACACUACUGAUUGUAUUAGUAACGACAAAGGUGAAUUUAUUAUAUCAGUAGAUUAGACAGAUGAUAAAGUUGAACAACUAAAAGAAGAGUAGGAUGUAUUUGAUGUUGCAUCUGUUUUGUGGACCUUUUGAUUUAAUGCACCUAGUAAGAAGACUGUUUCCUGUGAUGAAUUUAAUCUACGAAUCUUUCAAUCUGUGAAUGUAGUGUAAGAUUAUUUUUGAUGUAAAAGACCAUUUUGAUGUAUAUAAACUCUUGUUUCUAAUAAUUAGUUUCAGUUUAGUUCUAGAGUAAAACAAGUUUCUUAAUAGUAGUAAAGUUAAUUUCCUAACCAAUAAAAUACAUUAUUAUAUGAUGAUAAUCUGACAGUUUUCACUUCUUUAAUGGCUGGGUGGGUAGGGGAGAAGUGGGGCAUUGAAAAUAUUACAAGAAUAAUUUGAUAUCUUUUUUUAUAAAAUGUAUGUGCUGAACCAAACAAGUUUUAACAAAUAAAUUAUCAUUCAGGCACAGGUUCUAUCGCUUAAGAUAGUCAGCAGGUUAUAAUAAAGUAUAUAUUCUUUUAAUUUUUGAGGAACCGUGCCAUUGAUGUAAAGUGGGACAUGUGUGAGGUAAAGUGGGACUAGCAAGUAAUUAAAAAUAUAUUGACAAAAAUUAUGGUUUAAAAACUAUUAAUAUCGUAAACCACAUAAUCCCUAAAUUAGCAUCUGCUAAGGUUUCUUUUCUUUAUUGUGCUAGUCAUUUUCUUAUUCACAGUUCCAUUUUCUACCUCUACAACUCUCUUAUUCGCCCCACUAUGUAAUAUUCUUGUCAUAUUUUGGCUCCUUCUUCUAAUUAUGCUAUUUCUCUUCUAGACAAGGUCCAAAAACAAAUUUUUAAGGUAGCUGGACCCACUCUAUCUGCCAAACUUGAACUUCUCUCCCAUUGUCAUAAGGUUUUCUCUUUUCUACAAAUACUAUCAUAAUAAUUGCUUUUACUGUAUCUGUCCCUACAUGUUCUAAAAACUUUUGUUUAUUUAGUUUUUUUCUACUAACUUUAACCGUUUAGAACUCUUUGCUGCCUUCAUGUUUUCCUGACUCAUACAACCUUCAAUGUUUCAAAUCUUUUGUCAACUGUUUUCUUGCUUUUUAACUCUUUGUUUUCUAGUAACUCUCAACUUAAUAGUGGUUGUUUGCAGCCUUGUUUGGACUGAAUCAGAAUAAAAAAAUAAAUUAAAAAAAAUUAAAUUUCUUUGUCCCACUUCACCCUUCAAAAAAUCGUUUUAGGAGUACUUUUCAAAACUACCCUCUAAAAAGUUGAGUUAUUUACCACACACAGGAAGACAAAACAGUUUCUGCUAAAUAGAGGGGAAGAUAACAAAGACUACAGACUUCUCCUAAUUGAAUUUUUUUGAAAUGUACCAUUUCUCCCCAUUUUCUCCUAUCUGUAUCUUUUUCGACUUGCAUUCUUGAGUUUUUUCAUAAAUUAAAUACAUCUACACUGUUACUUUGAUAUCUUAUACCAUGUUAUUCCUUUCAAAAUGUGCAAUCUUUGUAUUGAGAAAUCAUAGAUAAAAAAACAGGACUUGUGUACAUUUUUAGGUGUAGUUCUCGACACAAUUCUUUCCUGGAGAGUUUUCCACUUAAGUAUAAAUGAGAAUAAAAUAUCCAAACAGCGUAUUCGAUAAAGCCAAACUGUUGUUUAACAAAAAAUGUUUAAAAAAACUUAUAAUUUUUUUUUUUUUUUUUUUUUUUAUUUACUUGUGCCUACCUAUAUAAAAAAAACUCAGUGGACAUGCUGUAAAAGUCAUUUCGAAUGUAAAUCAUUAAAGACCCUCAAAAGCUCUAUUUAGUAAACUAAAUAUCAAUAUUUUUCAACCAAAGAUUUAAUAUAUACUCAUUUUAAUGUACGAACUUGAUUAAAAAAUAACGCCUUUGAUAUUCUUUUAUUAAUUUUUUUUUCUUUUUAAUAACUCUUUCAGCUAUUUCGCUUUUUAUAUUUUGAGGUUUUAAAUUUUGUAAGUACUUGUUUUUUCUUUUAUAUAUUUCAAGUAAUUUUGUCAGAAGAAAAGAAAGGUUUUUUUAUUUUAAAAAGAAAGGUUUUUUUAUUUUGAAAAGAAAGGUUUUUUAAUUUUGAAAAGAAAAGUUUUUUUUAUCUAAAAUAUUGUAAUUAUUUGUAUAUCUUGUUAUUGUAACAAACGGCUAAACUUUUUUAUAUAUAAACACUUGGGUUUGAAAUUUUAUGUUAAUCUUUUUUUUUUUUUUUUUUUUUUUGAUUUGAUUUACACUUGUUAUAUUUUUGUAUUUACUAGUAAUAUGCAUUAUAGACUGCUACUAACCAUAUUCAACUAGAUUGGAACGACUAAUAGACAUCGUAAUCCUAUUCAGAUUGAAUAUGUAAUAAAAAGUGACAUUCGGACAGAAGUCGAUUAGAUGAUUUUCUCGUAAUUGAUGCCACGAAACUAUAAUAGAUAAACUGAAAUAAAAUAUAGGCUAGAGGAUUUAAAAAAGGCCAUAAAAGACGUGAAAAAUAAAACUUUUUCAUUUGAGAAUUACUCAAUAUGAAGUUGUAGAACUAUUUACAAAACCUUUUAAUCGUCUCAGCAAUAUUGAAAAAGCAGCCAAUGGAUUUCGAGCAGCUGGUAUUUAUCCGUUAGAUCCCACAAAAUUUAAUGAUUUUUUUCCAAUCAGUAUCGUUACACAUGAAACGUCAUUACUUGAUAACAUUCAGAGUUCAGAAUCAGUUCAGAGUUCAGAUACUCAAGCCAAAUCAUCUGAAGUGUUAGUUAACCUAUCAUUGAAUCCUUCUAGUGUAGGUCUGUCACCUGAUGUGAAUAUAGCCCCUGAACUGGUACUAAAUAGAUCAAAUCAGUCAAUAUCUCUUUUAAAUAUUGUCUCUGUACCUAAUUUGCCAAAAAGAAAAACCAGAGAAAGUCUAAGAAAAAAACAUUCUACUAUUAUCACUAGUUCUCCAAUGAAAGAUUUUUUAGAGGACAAGCAGCAAAAGAAAAGUAUGAAGGAACAAGAAGUAAAACAGACUGCUCGUAAAAAAAAGAAGGGAGGGAGCAACUUUAAUAACUUUGAGGCUAAUGAUGUAUUAAAGAAGAAAAAAAUAACGAGAGAUGAUAAAAAAAAAUGAUUGUUAUUGUUUAAUUUGUGAAGAAAAGUAUCAUGAUCCACCCACGGAAGACUGGAUAAAAUGUUAUAAAUGUAAGUCUUGGUACCACGAGAAGUGCACAAGUUGUGCAAGUACAUCAAGAGGUUUUCUCUGUGAUUUUUGCUAUGAAUAACAUUUAUUGAUUUUUUAAAUUUUGUUAAUGUAACAUUUUAUUUACAUUGAAUAACGUUUAUUGAUACUUGAUUCUUUAACGUUUGAUUUGUUUAAAAUUUGAUUCAAUAAUAUUUCAACCCUUCAAUUAAGUUUGAUUUGCUUUGAUCAACAUUUUAUUCGCUAUUACCCAACAGUGUUUGUGAUUACCCCACGGUAUGUUCGGAAUUACCCCACGUGCGUAGGGUAAUUCCGAACACCAAAGGUUUUGUUUUUGACCGAAUUUUUUAUUUUAUAAUAAGAUAUAUAAAAAUUGCUUUUGAGUGCUUCUAACCGAAUGGUUAGACUAACUGAUAAGCUAUAAAUAUCAUCAAUAUAUAGUAAUAGUUGUCUUUAAUUCGCUUUCCCGCUUAACUGUUCGCCAAUACCCCACUC